AGAUUAAGUUAUUAAGGGCGCACGGUGGAUGCCUUGGCACUAGAAGCCGAUGAAGGACGUUACUAACGACGAUAUGCUUUGGGGAGCUGUAAGUAAGCUUUGAUCCAGAGAUUUCCGAAUGGGGAAACCCAGCAUGAGUUAUGUCAUGUUAUCGAUAUGUGAAUACAUAGCAUAUCAGAAGGCACACCCGGAGAACUGAAACAUCUUAGUACCCGGAGGAAGAGAAAGAAAAUUCGAUUCCCUUAGUAGCGGCGAGCGAAACGGGAAGAGCCCAAACCAACAAGCUUGCUUGUUGGGGUUGUAGGACACUCUAUACGGAGUUACAAAGGACGACAUUAGACGAA
rnacentral:rRNA from 1 species